rnacentral:rRNA from 1 species
AGUGGGGAAUCUUCCACAAUGGGCGCAAGCCUGAUGGAGCAACGCCGCGUGAGUGAAGAAGGUCUUAGGAUUGUAAAGCUCUGUCCUUAGGGAAGAACCGUGGAUGCAGCAAAUGGCAUCCACCUGACGGUACCUUCAGAGGAAGCCACGGCUAACUCUGUGCCAGCAGCCGCGGUAAUACAGAGGUGGCAAGCGUUGUUCGGAUUUACUGGGCGUAAAGGGUGCGUAGGCGGUUUCGUGUGUCAGAUGUGAAAGCCCAUGGCUCAACCAUGGAAUUGCAUUUGAAACUGCGGAACUAGAGUAUCGGAGAGGUAGAUGGAAUUCUUGGUGUAGCGGUGAAAUGCGUAGAUAUCAAGAAGAACACCAGCGGCGAAAGCGAUCUACUGGACGAAUACUGACGCUGAGGCACGAAAGCCAGGGGAGCGAAGAGGAUUAGAUACCCUCGUAGUCCUGGCCAUAAACGCUGAAUGCUAGGUGUGGGUGGGUAGAACCAUCCGUGCCGGAGUUAACGCGAUAAGCAUUCCGCCUGGGGAUUACGACCGCAAGGUUG